CCUACGGGUGGCAGCAGUGAGGAAUAUUGGUCAAUGGGAGAGAUCCUGAACCAGCCAAGCCGCGUGAGGGAAGACGGCCCUAUGGGUUGUAAACCUCUUUUGUCGGGGAACAAAACCCGGGACGUGUCCCGGACUGCGUGUAUCCGAAGAAAAAGCAUCGGCUAACUCCGUGCCAGCAGCCGCGGUAAUACGGAGGGUGCGAGCGUUAUCCGGAUUUGUUGGGUUUAAGGGGUAGGUAGGGGGGGCGUUAAGUCAGGGGUAAAAUUGCGGGGCCCAACCCCGCCGAGCCGUUGAAACUGGCAGACUUGAGUUGGCGAGAGGUACGCGGAAUGCGCGGUGUAGCAGUGAAAUGCAUAGAUAUCGCGCAGAACUCCGAUUGCGAAGGCAGCGUACCGGCGCCAGACUGACGCUGAGGCACGAAAGCGUGGGGAUCGAACAGGAUUAGAUACCCGGGUAGUC
rnacentral:rRNA from 1 species